rnacentral:rRNA from 1 species
UACGUAGGGGGCAAGCGUUGUCCGGAAUUAUUGGGCGUAAAGCGCGCGCAGGCGGUGCGGAAAGUCUGAUGGUAAAGGCCGGGGCUCAACCCCGGUGUACAUUGGAAACUGUCGCGCUGGAGUGCAGGAGAGGGAAGCGGAAUUCCACGUGUAGCGGUGAAAUGCGUAGAGAUGUGGAGGAACACCAGUGGCGAAGGCGGCUUCCUGGCCUGUAACUGACGCUGAGGCGCGAAAGCGUGGGGAGCAAACAGG